UUGAUGCCAUGUGGUCGUGCUUGCACGAGUUGUAGAGAAAGUGAAUUUGGGGCAUGGAAGAGUUGCGGAAAGCUUUAUUGAAUAAAGGCCUUCGUCACCUGGACCCAUGAGGAGGAUAGUGUGAGUAUUCGAAUCCUUGAUAACAAAAAAGAAGCGUGAAAUUCAAAAUAGACAUGAUGAUCAAGGCAAAAUUUUUGGACAUAAAGAAAAUGUUCCUUGAUCUUAGGGGCAUGAAGGAUGUUGUCUAGGUGAAAAGUUUUGGUAAGUGAGUAAAGUUUUGAAAAAUCAAUGUGAAGGAUAGGAAGGGCCUUACCAUUGCCAACAUGAAGAUUGUCAUCACCAUAGUAAGAUGUGGCUGAAGUGAAACCUGUCAUGUAUGGUGCCACAUGAUUGCUAGAACGUGUGUCUGGAAGCCAAGACAUAGAGGCGGUGGUUGAGUGAUUAUUUGUAUAGUUUGCGGAUGGUUGUUGUCUUCCCCGA
rnacentral:lncRNA from 1 species